CAUUGAAACACUGGUUCUCAUAACAUCAUCAAAGUUAAGCAACACUGAGCCUGGUCAGUACCUAAAUGAGUGACCACUUGAGAAUACCAGGAGUUGUAAG